rnacentral:rRNA from 1 species
UACAGAGGGUGCGAGCGUUGUCCGGAAUCACUGGGCGUAAAGGGCGCGUAGGCGGCGCGGUAAGCGUGCGGUGAAAGCCCGGGGCUCAACCCCGGGUCGGCCGUGCGGACUGCCGGGCUGGAGCACUGUAGAGGCAGGUGGAAUUCCGGGUGUAGCGGUGGAAUGCGUAGAGAUCCGGAAGAACACCGGUGGCGAAGGCGGCCGCUGGGCAGGUAGCUGCGCUGAACGCGACAGCG